UACAGAGGGUGCGAGCGUUGUUCGGAAUUACUGGGCGUAAAGGGCGCGUAGGCGGUUGGAUAAGUCAGCUGUGAAAACCACGGGCUUAACUCGUGGCCUGCAGUUGAGACUGUCUGGCUUGAGUGUGGGAGAGGAGAGUGGAAUUCCUGGUGUAGCGGUGAAAUGCGUAGAUAUCAGGAGGAACACCGGUGGCGAAGGCGGCUCUCUGGACCACAACUGACGCUGAGGCGCGAAAGCUAGGGGAGCAAACAGG
rnacentral:rRNA from 1 species